UAACUGCUGCCUAUCGGGGUUGGCGCAUACCUAGGAGUGGAGCCGGCGACCGAAAUAGUAACAUAAAUUUAGGAAAACGUCAAAACAAAGACACCAUGACCACGCUGCGACCUUUUACCUGCGACGACCUCUUUAAAUUUAACAAUGUAAACUUCGACCCACUUACGGAGACCUACGGCCUGUCCUUCUACACGCAAUACCUGGCCAAGUGGCCGGAGUACUUCCAGCUGGCGGAGUCCCCCAGUGGCCAGAUCAUGGGCUACAUCAUGGGCAAAGUGGAGGGCCAUAUGGACAACUGGCAUGGGCAUGUAACGGCGUUGACGGUGUCCCCUGACUACCGGAGACUUGGUCUGGCGGCGCUGCUUAUGAGUUUCCUUGAGGAUAUUUCGGAAAAGAAGCGGGCAUACUUCGUGGAUCUGUUUGUACGGAAGAGCAAUCAGGUGGCAAUCAAUAUGUACACGAAUCUAGGUUACAUCAUAUAUCGCACGAUACUCGAGUACUAUUCGGGCGACCAGGACGAGGAUGCGUACGAUAUGAGAAAAGCUAUGUCCAGGGACGUGAACAAGAAGUCGGUCAUACCGUACACACAGCCUGUACGACUGGAAGAUAUAGAUAUGAAUUGAUACGAUAUCAACCCAGUAGUAGCGCCCGCAACCGCAUUUAUGUCUAAUUGACCCCGAUCCACUACCUUAAACGGAAGCGCAAGCCCCAAACACUUUCUAGUUACUAUGUAGUAAGACCUGUAAAUAAUCCGCAGUCCCACAACCUUUCUUCCUGGUGAUAACCAUCCAAAACGAAACGACAGUCCUGCUUGGUCCGAUCCCUGCACAUGCACAGAGUGAAAUUGUAUUAAUAUGACCUCGACCUUCUUCUUUAACCAUCAAGAUCAAGAUUUCCCAAGUCGAUGCGUAAAUAAUAACCGUAUGUGACACGUGUGUGUGUGUGUGUAGUGUGUUCCGGCACUUUGAAAAGCUCGCACAUCCUGACCAGCUGCCGCAUGUAUACGAUCCUCUAACGGUGUCGAAUGUUUCUUGCAGAUCACAAUGCGGGAGCUGCGCCGCCAAAUGAGACACGACCACUAACUGGGACAAUCCAUCGGCCUGCUGCUACUGCCGCCAGGCCAAGCAUAACACAACAUAAACCUUAGCCAUCAUUUUGCUUUAUCGGCGGCCCUUAGCCGAUCCCAAACGUAUUUUAUUAGAGAGCCCUAUCCUUUGACAAUUAAAUAAAUAUACAACAUUUUAUCCAAGUAA